GAUGAACGCUGGCGGCGUGCUUAACACAUGCAAGUCGAACGGAAAGGCCCAAGCUUGCUUGGGUACUCGAGUGGCGAACGGGUGAGUAACACGUGGGUGAUCUGCCCUGCACUUCGGGAUAAGCCUGGGAAACUGGGUCUAAUACCGGAUAGGACCACUUCUUGGAUGGUGUGGUGGAAAGUUUUUUCGGUGUGGGGUGAGCUCGCGGCCUAUCAGCUUGUUGGUGGGGUAAUGGCCUACCAAGGCGUCGACGGGUAGCCGGCCUGAGAGGGUGUACGGCCACAUUGGGACUGAGAUACGGCCCAGACUCCUACGGGGGGCAGCAGUGGGGAAUAUUGCACAAGGGGCGCAGGCCUGAUGCAGCGACGCCGCGUGGGGGAUGACGGCCUUCGGGUUGUAAACUCCUUUCGCUAGGGACGAAGCGUUUUGUGACGGUACCUGGAGAAGAAGCACCGGCUAACUACGUG
rnacentral:rRNA from 1 species